rnacentral:rRNA from 1 species
UACGUAGGGGGCAAGCGUUGUCCGGAUUUAUUGGGCGUAAAGAGCGUGUAGGCGGCCUUACAGGUCAGCUGUGAAAACUCGAGGCUCAACCUCGAGACGUCGGUUGAAACCGUAAGGCUAGAGUCCGGAAGAGGAGAGUGGAAUUCCCGGUGUAGCGGUGAAAUGCGCAGAUAUCGGGGAAGAACACCCGUGGCGAAGGCGGCUCUCUGGGACGGUACUGACGCGUGAGACGGCGAAAGCGUGGGGAGCGAACGAGG